rnacentral:rRNA from 1 species
CCUACGGGGGGCAGCAGUGAGGAAUAUUGGUCAAUGGACGCAAGUCUGAACCAGCCAUGCCGCGUGCAGGAAGACGGCCCUAUGAGUUGUAAACAGCUUUUGUACGAGGGAAAACGAAGAUACGCGUAUCUGUCUGAAAGUAUCGUACGAAUAAGGAACGGAUAAACCCGUGCCAGCAGCAGCGGUAAUACGGAGGAGUCAAGCGUUAUCCGGAUUUAUUGGGUGUAAAGGGUGCGUAGGCGGUCGGAUAAGUUAGAGGUGAAAUCCCGAGGCUCAACUUCGGAAUUGCCUCUGAUACUGUUCGGCUAGAGAGUAGUAGCGGUAGGCGGAAUGUAAGGUGUAGCGGUGAAAUGCUUAGAGAUCAUACAGAACACCGAUUGCGAAGGCAGCUUACCAAGCUACUUCUGACGUUGAGGCACGAAAGCGUGGGGAGCAAACAGGAUUAGAUACCCUAGUAGUC